rnacentral:lncRNA from 1 species
GAGAGCGCGGCGAGGCGGUCGGCGGCGUGGGCCUGGAGGGCGUCGAGCACCUGCAGCUCGUCGUCCUGCGCGGGGUCGAAGGAGGCGACGGCGGUGGCGCUGCGGCGGAAGCUGAGCAGGCCGAGGAAUCCCAUCCCGGUGGGCGGCGGCGGCUCGGCGGGGGCCAUCGUCGCCGGGGAGGCUUCAGCUUCGGGCUUGGGCUUGGGCUUGGGUCUGGGCCUGGGCCUGGUAGCUCGUCGAAGAGUGGAGGAGAGGGAAUGGUGGGGG